CACGUAGGGGCCAAGCGUUGUCCGGAUUUAUUGGGCGUAAAGAGCUCGUAGGCGGUUCGACAAGUCGGGUGUGAAAACUCCGGGCUCAACCCGGAGACGCCACCCGAUACUGUCGUGACUGGAGUCCGGUAGGGGAGUGGGGAAUUCCUGGUGUAGCGGUGAAAUGCGCAGAUAUCAGGAGGAACACCGGUGGCGAAGGCGCCACUCUGGACGGCAACUGACGUUGAGGCACGAAAGCGUGGGGAGCAAACAGG
rnacentral:rRNA from 1 species